rnacentral:rRNA from 1 species
CAGUCGCCACGGUAAUACGUAGGUGGCAAGCGUUGUCCGGAAUUAUUGGGCGUAAAGCGCGCGCAGGUGGUUUAAUAAGUCUGAUGUGAAAGCCCACGGCUCAACCGUGGGGGGUCAUUGGAAACUGUUAAACUUGAGUGCAGGAGAGAAAAGUGGAAUUCCUAGUGUAGCGGUGAAAUGCGUAGAGAUUAGGAGGAACACCAGUGGCGAAGGCGGCUUUUUGGCCUGUAACUGACACUGAGGCGCGAAAGCGUGGGGAGCAAACAGGAUUAGAGACCCCCGUAGUCCCUGUCUCUUAUAC